AAAAAAACGAUGACAAAAAACGGCUCUCGUGUCGUCUACUUAGUCGAGCUCUUCAGACGGGCGAAUAUCCUCGGCAGGCAGAAGUGACCCAGACUGAUCGGUGACCCCCGCCUCGUCGGCAAGAGUCUCGACC
rnacentral:sRNA from 1 species